rnacentral:rRNA from 1 species
GACGAACGCUGGCGGCGUGCUUAACACAGGCAAGUCGAACGGAAAGGCCCUGCUUUUGUGGGGUGCUCGAGUGGCGAACGGGUGAGUAACACGUGAGUAACCUGCCCUUGACUUUGGGAUAACUUCAGGAAACUGGGGCUAAUACCGGAUAGGAGCUCCUGCUGCAUGGUGGGGGUUGGAAAGUUUCGGCGGUUGGGGAUGGACUCGCGGCUUAUCAGCUUGUUGGUGGGGUAGUGGCUUACCAAGGCUUUGACGGGUAGCCGGCCUGAGAGGGUGACCGGCCACAUUGGGACUGAGAUACGGCCCAGACUCCUACGGGAGGCAGCAGUGGGGAAUAUUGCACAGUGGGCGGAAGCCUGAUGCAGCAACGCCGCGUGCGGGAUGACGGCCUUCGGGUUGUAAACCGCUUUCGCCUGUGACGAAGCGUGAGUGACGGUAAUGGGUAAAGAAGCACCGGCUAACUACGUG